rnacentral:rRNA from 1 species
CCUACGGGAGGCUGCAGUCGAGAAUCAUUCACAAUGGGGGAAACCCUGAUGCUGCGACGCCGCGUGGGGGAAUGAAGGUCUUCGGAUUGUAAACCCCUGUCAUGUGGGAGCAAAUUAAAAAGAUAGUACCACAAGAGGAAGAGACGGCUAACUCUGUGCCAGCAGCCGCGGUAAUACGGAGGUCUCAAGCGUUGUUCGGAAUCACUGGGCGUAAAGCGUGCGGAGGCUGUUUCGUAAGUCGUGUGUGAAAGGCGCGGGCUCAAGCCGCGGACGGCACAUGAUACUGCGAGACUAGAGUAAGGGAGGGGGAACCGGAAUUCGUGGUGUAGCAGUGAAAUGCGUAGAUAUCGAGAGGAACACUCGUGGCGAAGGCGGGUUCCUGGACAGUAACUGACGCUGAGGCACGAAGGCCAGGGGAGCGAAAGGGAUUAGAUACCCCUGUAGUC